UACGUAGGGUGCGAGCGUUAAUCGGAAUUACUGGGCGUAAAGGGUGCGCAGGCGGCCGAGCAAGUCGAGUGUGAAAGCCCCGGGCUUAACUUGGGAAUUGCGCUCGAAACUACUUGGCUGGAGUGUGGCAGAGGAAGGUGGAAUUCCAGGUGUAGCGGUGAAAUGCGUAGAGAUCUGGAGGAACACCGAUGGCGAAGGCAGCCUUCUGGGCCAACACUGACGCUCAUGCACGAAAGCGUGGGGAGCAAACAGG
rnacentral:rRNA from 1 species